rfam:Triticum aestivum genome assembly, contig: Triticum_aestivum_CS42_TGACv1_scaffold_132289_2BL
AUUAUACUCCCUCCGUCCGGAAAUACUUGUCGGAGAAAGGAUGAAUCUAGACGUAUUUUAGUUAUAGAUACAUCCAAUUUAAUUUAUUUCUCCGACAAGUAUUUCAGGACUGAGGGAGUACAUA